rnacentral:misc_RNA from 1 species
CCGAGUUGUCAACAUGAGCUGUUGCUGGUCCUCAAAUGGGGGCAUGUGCACGCUCUGUUCACACAUCCACUCACACCUGUGCACCCUCUGUAGUUCUAUGGUCUGGGGGACACACCGUCUUCCUCCUGUAGUUCUAUGUCUUUACACACACACCGCAGUGAAGUCUUAUGGAAUGUGCGCAGCGUUUAACGCAAUACAAUA